CCUACGGGUGGCAGCAGUAGGGAAUCUUCCACAAUGGGCGAAAGCCUGAUGCAGCAACGCCGCGUGGGUGAAGAAGGUCUUCGGAUCGUAAAACCCUGUUGUUAGAGAAGAAAGUUCCUGCGAGUAACUGUUCACGUUUCGACGGUAUCUAACCAGAACGCCACGGCUAACUACGUGCCAGCAGCCGCGGUAAUACGUAGGUGGCAAGCGUUAUCCGGAUUUAUUGGGCGUAAAGGGAACGCAGGCGGUCUUUUAAGUCUGAUGUGAAAGCCUUCGGCUUAACCGGAGUAGUGCAUUGGAAACUGGGAGACUUGAGUGCAGAAGAGGUGAGUGGAACUCGAUGUGUAGCGGUGAAAUGCGUAGAUAUAUGGAAGAACACCAGUGGCGAAGGCGGCUUGCUGGUCUGUAACUGACGCUGAGGUUCGAAAGCGUGGGUAGCAAACAGGAUUAGAUACCCGUGUAGUC
rnacentral:rRNA from 1 species